rnacentral:rRNA from 1 species
AUUGAACGCUGGCGGCAUGCCUUACAUAUGCAAGUCGAACGGUAACAGGCCGCAAGGUGCUGACGAGUGGCGAACGGGUGAGUAAUGCAUCGGAACGUGCCCAGUCGUGGGGGAUAACGCAGCGAAAGCUGCGCUAAUACCGCAUACGAUCUAUGGAUGAAAGCGGGGGACCGUAAGGCCUCGCGCGAUUGGAGCGGCCGAUGUCAGAUUAGGUAGUUGGUGGGGUAAAGGCUCACCAAGCCAACGAUCUGUAGCUGGUCUGAGAGGACGACCAGCCACACUGGGACUGAGACACGGCCCAGACUCCUACGGGAGGCAGCAGUGGGGAAUUUUGGACAAUGGGCGCAAGCCUGAUCCAGCAAUGCCGCGUGCAGGAAGAAGGCCUUCGGGUUGUAAACUGCUUUUGUACGGAACGAAACGGUCCGGGUUAAUACCCUGGGCUAAUGACGGUACCGUAAGAAUAAGCACCGGCUAACUACGUGCCAGCCGCCGCCGUAAAAC